GACGAACGCUGGCGGCGUGCUUAACACAUGCAAGUCGAACGGAAAGGCCCUGCUUUUGUGGGGUGCUCGAGUGGCGAACGGGUGAGUAACACGUGAGUAACCUGCCCUUGACUUUGGGAUAACUUCAGGAAACUGGGGCUAAUACCUGAUAGGAGCUCCUGCUGCAUGGUGGUGGUUGGAAAGUUUCGGCGGUUGGGGAUGGACUCGCGGCUUAUCAGCUUGUUGGUGGGGUAGUGGCUUACCAAGGCUUUGACGGGUAGCCGGCCUGAGAGGGUGACCGGCCACAUUGGGACUGAGAUACGGCCCAGACUCCUACGGGAGGCAGCAGUGGGGAAUAUUGCACAAUGGGCGGAAGCCUGAUGCAGCGACGCCGCGUGCGGGAUGACGGCCUUCGGGUUGUAAACCGCUUUCGCCUGUGACGAAGCGUGAGUGACGGUAAUGGGUAAAGAAGCACCGGCUAACUACGUG
rnacentral:rRNA from 1 species